AUUGAACGCUGGCGGCAGGCCUAACACAUGCAAGUCGAGCGGCAGCAUUGAGCUUGCUCCUGGACUCAUCGGCAGACGGGUGCGUAAUGCCUAGGCAUCUGCAUGGUCGUGGGGGAUGACGUCCGGAUACGGGCACUCAUACUGAUACCGCCCAGUGGCAGAAGAUGGAGGCUCUUCGGCUCUCACCCUAUCACAUUAGCCUGAGUCGGAUUAGCUAGUUGGUGGGGUAAAGGCCUACCAAGGCGACGAUCGGUAACUGGUCUGAGAGGAUGAUCAGUCACACUGGAACUGAGACACGGUCCAGACUCCUACGGGAGGCAGCAGUGGGGAAUAUUGGACAAUGGGGGAAAGCCUGAUCCAGCAAUGCCGCGUGUGUGAAGAAGGUCUUAGGAUUGUAAAGCACUUUAAGUGGGGAGGAAGGGCAGUAAGUUAAUACCUGACUGUUUUGACGUUACCAACAGAAUAAGCACCGGCUAACUUCGUG
rnacentral:rRNA from 1 species